AGAAUCAACGCUGGCGGCGUGCCUAACACAUGCAAGUCGAACGAGAAAGUGGAGCAAUCCAUGAGUAAAGUGGCGACCGGGUGAGUAACACGUGACUAACCUACCUUCGAGUGGGGGAUAACCUCGGGAAACCGAGGCUAAUACCGCAUAACAUCGUGAGAUCAAAGCAGUAAUGCGCUGGAAGAGGGGGGUCGCGGCUGAUUAGCUAGUUGGCGGGGUAAUGGCCCACCAAGGCGAAGAUCGGUA
rnacentral:rRNA from 1 species